GAUGAACGCUAGCUACAGGCUUAACACAUGCAAGUCGAGGGGCAGCAUGAAUUUACUUCGGUAAAUUUGAUGGCGACCGGCGCACGGGUGCGUAACGCGUAUCCAACCUUCCCGUUACUCUGGGAUAGCCUUCCGAAAGGGAGAUUAAUACCGGAUGGUGUUCAAUUGGUGCAUAUUAUUUGAACUAAAGAUUUAUCGGUAACGGAUGGGGAUGCGUACCAUUAGAUAGUAGGCGGGGUAACGGCCCACCUAGUCUACGAUGGUUAGGGGUUCUGAGAGGAAGGUCCCCACACUGGAACUGAGACACGGUCCAGACNCUACGGAGGCAGCAGUGAGGAA
rnacentral:rRNA from 1 species